rnacentral:rRNA from 1 species
UACGUAGGGUGCAAGCGUUGUCCGGAAUUAUUGGGCGUAAAGGGCUCGUAGGCGGUCUGUCACGUCGGGAGUGAAAACUCAGGGCUUAACCCUGAGCCUGCUUCCGAUACGGGCAGACUAGAGGUAUGCAGGGGAGAACGGAAUUCCUGGUGUAGCGGUGAAAUGCGCAGAUAUCAGGAGGAACACCGGUGGCGAAGGCGGUUCUCUGGGCAUUACCUGACGCUGAGGAGCGAAGGUGUGGGGAGCGAACAGG